ACACUGUACGAGUUUGAUCCUGGCUCAGGAUGAACGCUAGCGGCAGGCCUAAUACAUGCAAGUCGAACGGCCCCGACACUUCGGUGUCGGGGUAGUGGCGCACGGGUGCGUAACGCGUACACAACAUACCCUUUACAGGGGGAUAGCGGCGGGAAACUGCCAGUAAUACCCCAUGUCCUUGCGAGGUGGCAUCAUUUUGCAAAGAAAGUUCAAGCGGUAAAGGAUUGGUGUGCGUCCGAUUAGCUAGUUGGCGGGGUAACGGCCCACCAAGGCGACGAUCGGUAGGGGGUGUGAGAGCAUGGCCCCCCACACGGGUACUGAGACACGGACCCGACUCCUACGGGAGGCAGCAGUAAGGAAUAUUGGACAAUGGACGGAAGUCUGAUGCAGCAACGCCGCGUGGAGGAUGACACAUUUCGGUGCGUAAACUCCUUUUAUAUAGGAAGAUAAUGACGGUACUAUAUGAAUAAGCACCGGCUAACUCCGUG
rnacentral:rRNA from 1 species